UGGGAUUACAGGUGUGAGCCACCACACCCAGCCUACAACCACAAUUCUUUGAGAGUAAAUUCUGUGUACUCCCCCUACGCUAGCAACCAGCCCCAGAAGGGCAGGCUGACAUCCUCAUGGUCCCUGCUGAUCUGGAGUUGGGGGGAUGUUACGUGAGCAAGCAAAAACGCCAUCAAUCACACUCUCUUAUCACAGGAGAGCUUUCUUUCCUUCCUUUUUUUUGAGACGGACUUUUGCUUUCACCCAGGCUGGAGGGCAGUGCAAAUGAAUGAAUGAAUGAAUGCAACUAUUUUAUGUCAGGAAGGUUUGUGGGUUGCAGCCGCUACCAAUGUUGGAGACACCCAUUGCUUCAGAGUAUGCAAAGGACUUGAGUGUUGAAACACUUAAGUAAGAGGAAGCAGAAAUUAAUUCUUAAAUUCCUCUUCUCAGGGAGGCUGAAUGCAGCAGAUUCUUGUAUAACAAGUAUCAUUUCUCAGAAGUGCUGAGAGUCCAUUUAUCUGUUUCUCCUCAUGUUCCAAAUUGUGCCUCCAGACAUACUCAUGAGUUAGAGAGUAAUAUGGGUCAGGCGUGUUAGUUCAUGCCUACAAUCCCAGAACUUUGGGAGACUGAGGCAGGAGGAUCACUUGUGGCUGACCAGCCUGGGCAACAUAAUGAGACCCUGUCUCUACAAAAAAAAUUAAAACUUUGUUUAAAUAAAAAUAAUAAAAAUUUUUAAAAGAGACCAAUAUGGCUACUCACUGUAGCUGAGGAACAUUUAGCCAUUUAAACAAUUUGUAUCACUCUCUAAUUUGUAUAUAAGAUCGAGACACAAAAUGUAUGUUGUACUAUCAGUCCUUUAGAUGAGCAAUUAGACUGACAUUGAACACUAGAACUGGGAAAAGUUAUUUAAUAAUAAUAUGCAAUAAGAUUUAAGUUUUCAAAAUAUUAAAUAUAAAUUUUUCAGCUUUUAUUUUUUAUUUUUCAUUUUCAUGUUUUUUGAGACAGUAUCUCACUCUGUCGCCCAGGCUGGAGUGCAUUGGUGCGAUCGCACCUCACUGAACCCUCAACCUCUCCAGGCUCAGGUGAUCCUCCCACCUCAGUGGAGUAUCUGGGACUACAGGUGUGUACCUCUAUGCUUGGCUAAUUUUUGUAUUUUUUUUUUCAGCUUUAAGCAAUUUUUAUUUAAAGCUUUGUAAAAAUAUAAAAAUUAGCCAAGCGCGGUGGUGAGCACCUGUAGUCCUAGUCUCCCGAGUAGCUCGGAUUACAGGCGCCUGCCACCCCACCCUGCUAAUUUUUGUAGUUUUAGUAGAGACAAGGUUUCACCAUAUUGGCCAGGCUGGUCUGGAACUCUUGACCUCAGGUGAUCCACCCGCCUCGGCCUAAAAAAAAAAUUAAAAAUAAAUUAGGAGGAUCAGUAGUGCCGUUCCCAAUUAUCUCAUAAUUUCCACCAUUUUAAAGAGACAACCCUCACAUCUCCCAGGUUCAAAAUAUCCUAAAGUAUCUUCAACCUGGGUUGAGUCAGGUGCCCCACCCCGGGACUAAACGCAUGUGUCAGAGGGUUUGGGGUGGGGGUGAGUAUUUAAGAACCAUGUGGCUGGGCACAAUGGCUCACACCUAUAAUCCCAGCACUUUGGAAGGUAGAGGCAGGAGAAUUGCUUGAGCCCAGGAGUUUGAGACCAGCCUAGGCAAAAUAGUGAGGUCCCAUCUCCACAAAAAAUAAAAAAUUAGCUAGGUGUGGUGGUACAUGCCUGUAGUCCCAGCUACUGGGGAGAGUGAGGCAGGAGGAUCACUUGAACCCAGGAGGUCGAUUUGCACUCCAGCCUGGGUGACAGAGUGAGACCCUGUCUGGGAAAAACAAAAACAUGUGGAGGGAGGGGGAUACAGGCCGGUCAUGGAAGACAGGCAUGUUGACAGCAGAGGGUGCUACAGAUAAUCUCUUGACAUCCCCUAACUGACAAAGAGAAGGCUAAUCCCUUUUAUUACUCUAGAUCUCAUUCUUUUCUAUUCUGCCACUGAAUAAGCCCUUACUAAAUAUCAGAGGUUGCUCUAAGCAUUUGUAUCAGUCAAGAUACGUUAGGUUAUAAAAACGCCAAAUUGCAGUUGCUUAAUUCACAAAAGCGUCAUUUCUUGCUCUUGCUACACACCCAUUGCUGGGUGGCUGGAUCUCUGCAUUGUCACCCUCACUCCUGUGCCAGGCAAAUGAAGCAGCCGCUCUUGGGCAUAAUCGCCCAUCACCAUGGCGGAAAGAAAGAGGAGCCAUAUCCACUCUGAUGAUAGUUUCUUUUGCUGUGCAGAAGCUCUUUAGUUUAAUUAGAUCCCAUUUGUCAAUUUUGGCUUUUGUUGCCAUUGCUUUUGGUGUUUUAGACAUGAAGUCCUUGCCCAUCCCUAUGUCCUGAAUGGUAAUGCCUAGGUUUUCUUCUAGGGUUUUUAUGGUUUCAGGUCUAACAUUUAAGUCUUUAAUCCAUCUUGAAUUAAUUUUUGUAUAAGGUGUAAGGAAGGGAUCCAGUUUCAGCUUUCUACACAUGGCUAGCCAGUUUUCCCAGCACCAUGUAUUAAAUAGGGAAUCCUUUCCCCAUUUCUUGUUUUUGUCAGGUUUGUCAAAGAUCUGAUGGUUGUAGAUAUGCGGCAUUAUUUCUGAGGGCUCUGUUCUGUUCCACUGGUCUAUAUCUCUGUUUUGGUACCAGUACCAUGCUGUUUUGGUGACUGUAGCCUUGUAGUAUAGUUUGAAGUCAGGCAGUGUGAUGCCUCCAGCUUUGUUCUUUUGGCUUAGGAUUGACUUGGCAAUGCGGGCUCUUUUUUGGUU
rnacentral:lncRNA from 1 species